UACGGAGGGUGCAAGCGUUAUCCGGAUUCACUGGGUUUAAAGGGUGCGUAGGUGGGCAGGUAAGUCAGUGGUGAAAUCUCCGGGCUUAACCCGGAAACUGCCAUUGAUACUAUUUGUCUUGAAUACCGUGGAGGUCAGCGGAAUAUGUCAUGUAGCGGUGAAAUGCUUAGAUAUGACAUAGAACACCAAUUGCGAAGGCAGCUCACUACGGAUAUAUUGACACUGAGGCACGAAAGCGUGGGGAUCAAACAGG
rnacentral:rRNA from 1 species